rnacentral:rRNA from 1 species
AGAGUUUGAUCCUGGCUCAGGACGAACGCUGGCGGCGUGCUUAACACAUGCAAGUCGAACGGAUCCAAUAGCAAUAUUGGGUUAGUGGCGAACGGGUGAGUAACACGUGACCAAUCUGCCCCGGACUGGGGAAUAACGUCGGGAAACUGACGCUAAUACCGCAUAUUGAGACGGGUUCGCAUGGAACUGUCUUGAAAGAUUUAUCGGUCCGGGAUGAGGUCGCGCCCCAUUAGCUUGUUGGCGGGGUAAUGGCCCACCAAGGCGACGAUGGGUAGCUGGUCUGAGAGGAUGAUCAGCCACACUGGGACUGAGAUACGGCCCAGACUCCUAUGGGAGGCAGCAGUGAGGAAUAUUGCGCAAUGGGCGAAAGCCUGACGCAGCAACGCCGCGUGGAGGAUGAAGGUGCUUUGCAUUGUAAACUCCUGUAGGGGGGGACGAAUAUCAUAGCUUCUGCUAUGAAUGACGGUACCCCCAAAGUAAGCACCGGCUAACUCCGUGCCAGCAGCCGCGGUAAUACGGAGGGUGCAAGCGUUGUCCGGAUUUAUUGGGUGUAAAGGGCGUGUAGGCGGAGUGAUGUGUCGAGAGUGAAAUCGUGCGGCUUAACCGUAUCAAUUGCUCUCGAAACUGUCACCCUUGAGUACGAGAGGGGCAGAUGGAAUUCCAGGUGUAGCGGUGGAAUGCGUAGAUAUCUGGAAGAACACCGGUGGCGAAGGCGGUCUGCUGGCUCGAUACUGACGCUGAGGCGCGAAAGUGUGGGGAGCAAACAGGAUUAGAUACCCUGGUAGUCCACACCGUAAACGAUGGUCACUAGUUGUCGGGGGAUUCGACCCCUUCGGCGACGACGCUAACGCAUUAAGUGACCCACCUGGGGAGUACGAUCGCAAGGUUGAAACUCAAAGGAAUUGACGGGGGCCCGCACAAGCGGUGGAGCAUGUGGUUUAAUUCGAUGCAACGCGAAGAACCUUACCUGGGCUCGAAGUGUAGUGUAAACCCAUGAAAGUGGGCUAGUCCUUCGGGACACGCUAUAUAGGUGCUGCAUGGCUGUCGUCAGCUCGUGUCGUGAGAUGUUAGGUUAAGUCCUGCAACGAGCGCAACCCUUGUCUUUAGUUGCCAUCAGGUAAUGCUGGGAACUCUAAAGAGACUGCCGACGUUAAGUCGGAGGAAGGUGGGGAUGACGUCAAGUCCUCAUGGUCCUUACGUCCAGGGCUACACACGUGCUACAAUGGCCGGUACAAAGCGUCGCAAGACCGCAAGGUGGAGCAAAUCGCAAAAAACCGGUCUCAGUCCAGAUUGCACUCUGCAACUCGAGUGCAUGAAGUUGGAAUCGCUAGUAAACGCGAAUCAGCAGGUCGCGUUGAAUACGUUCCCGGGCCUUGUACACACCGCCCGUCACACCAUGGGAGUCGGUAGGACCCAAAGGGCUUGUGCCAACCGUAAGGGGGUAGAGUCUUAAGGUCAGCCCGACGACUGGGG